rnacentral:rRNA from 1 species
ACUUAAAAGCUAGCCUCU